rnacentral:rRNA from 1 species
AUGAACGCUAGCGACAGGCCUAACACAUGCAAGUCGAGGGGCAGCGCGGGAGAAGCUUGCUUUCCUGGCGGCGACCGGCGCACGGGUGCGUAACAGGUGUGCAAUCUGUCCAUAGUCGGGGAAUAGCCCAGCGAAAGUUGGAUUAAUGCUCCAUGUGAGCGAGUGCCGCAUGACACACGCUUGAAACGUAAGGACUAUGGGUGAGCACGCUUCUGAUUAGAUAGUUGGUGAGGUAACGGCUCACCAAGUCGACGAUCAGUAGGGGUUCUGAGAGGAAGGUCCCCCACAUUGGAACUGAGACACGGUCCAAACUCCUACGGGAGGCAGCAGUGAGGAAUAUUGGUCAAUGGGCGAGAGCCUGAACCAGCCAAGUCGCGUGAAAGGAUGAAGGUUCUAUGGAUUGUAAACUUCUUUUGUCCGAGGGUAAAAAAGGCCACGUGUGGCUUCUUGCAAGUAUCGGACGAAUAAGCAUCGGCUAACUCCGUGCCAGCAGCCGC